AAGGCUCUUCGAUCAAGAACAUAACUAGGAAUCAUUUGAGGUGAUUCAAGAAUGUUGAAUAUUAGCCCCCACUCUCUUCUGGCUUGUAGAGUUUCUGCCGAGAGAUCCGCUGUUAGCCUGUUGGGCUUCCCUUUGGACACCAAUGAGUUGUGUCUUCCCUCUGUCCACUCUCAGCACCUUCACUCUGAAGAUCUGUUAAAAGCACACAAGUCGUCUCAGUCCCUCAGUGGGAGCUGUUUCACCUGAUGUCAUCUAGUCAGCCAUCUUCAAUAAUAACUGUUAAAUGAGCGUUUAUAUCCACUGAAACCACUAAGUGAAAUAAAGAUGUGUUUAGGCAAA
rnacentral:sRNA from 1 species